GCGUCGCAAUAGUAAUUCAACCUAGUACGAGAGGAACUGUUGAUUCGCACAAUUGGUCAUCGCGCUUGGUUUAAAAAACCAGUGGCGCGAAGUUACCGUGCGCUGGAUUAUGACUGAACGCCUUUAAGUCAGAAUCCAGGCUAGAAGCGACGC
rnacentral:ncRNA from 1 species